rnacentral:misc_RNA from 1 species
UCCGGUCAAAGCUAUUGGCCC